CCUGGACCCUGCCCGACUCUUUCCCAGAAGAAAUACUUAACCAAUGGGGUUAGAGGGAGAGGAGGGCACCGCAUUCCCAGGGGGUCAGCAGGGAAGUGACCAAAGGCUCAAAACCUGCCUUGAAGGCUGGCUACGGUGGUGUGAAACAAGGAGACAUGGCAGGAGGAACCCAGAGGCAAGGAGAAGGAGGGAUACGCACCCAGGCACUGAUCCUGUCUGUUGAGAUAACCCAGCUGGUGUCCAGAAGAAUGGAGAGCAGCUUCAUGCAGGAGACCAGAGAGGUGUGGUGGUGGUGGUGGUGGUGGUGGUCAGGCUGCUGGCAGGGCAGGCAUUGGGAUGAGUCACCUGGCCCACUCACAGCAGCACCAGCGCUGGCUGAGGGGCUGUCGCAUGCAUGGGGCCUCCUGCCAUCCUCCUCUGUCUGCUGGAAAAGCACAGAUGGAAGUGGAAGAAGGAUUAGGACCUUUCUGCCGAGCACCUCUAGCAGCUUUACCUGAGCUGUUUUUCGCUUUCACUAUGACUUGUGCAGUUAAAAGAAAUGAAGAGGAGGAAGAGAAAUGCUGGACGAGCUCCAGAUAUGGGUUAAUAUUUCCUCUAGGAUGGGAGUGGUGAGGCAGACUCUGUGCUGGGGAUGAAAUGACGGGCUCAGGCAGCUGGAAUCGAUGGGGCAGCAGAGAGAGAAGCAACCUGGAACCUGGUCCUGCCAUGUGUGGGAUGAAGUCCCCAGGGGUGAAGACUCAGGUGUAGCCCAGUGCUGAUACAUGGGCAUGGCUUCAUUCCAUUUCACCUUGUGCUGCCUCACUUCUAGAGGUCACAAGUGGCCCAAUCUGAAUAAUAAUUGACAGGUGCAGGUGAAAGACCAGGAGAACUAUGCCUGCAGCUAUGCAUUUGUACAUUCAGCCUUUCAUUCCUUUCCUUGCUUUGGUAACUAUUAUCAAUGGGGUUGUUAGCCCUGGAUUCUUCCAUCCCAGCAGCUUUCGGGCAUGCUGAAAGGAGCUCAAAGCAAAGCAACAAAGAUGUAAAGCUAUUAGCAUGUCCAGAGGAGGGCUACAAAGAUGGAGAAGUGUCUGGAGAGCAAGGUGUGUGAGGAGCAGCAGUCCCUGGGUUUGCUCAGCCCAAAGCAGGGGAGCUGAGGAGAGGCCCCAUGGCGGCUGCAGCUCCUCACAGGGAGUGGAGGUGCUGAGCUCUGCUCUGUGUGACAGUGACAGGGCCUGAGGGAAGUGGAUGGAGCUGUGUCAGGGGAGGGACAGCUGGGGGUGAGGGACAGGCUCUGCAUCAGAGGGUUGUGAGCAUGGAACAGCCUAUGCAGAGCAUGGCCCUGAGUUGCUGGAGUUCAAGGAGUGUUGGGACAGUGCUCUCAGAUUUAGGAUUUGGGUUUGGGUGGUCCUAUGUGGAGCCAGGGGUUGGAGUCAGCAAUCCUUAUCAGUCCAUUCCAACUUCUACGAUAUUCUAUGAUUCUACGAACAUUCUGGUGUCUGGAAGGCUUUAAUGAUAUUGAACAAUGCAGGGCAGGCUGGUGGCAGGAUGCCUUUGUUUGGGACAAAACAUAGCAGGAAAUCCUGCCUGGAAUCCCCCUCAUCUACACAGUCCAGCACUGAGCUUCUCAUCUGAGCCAUAUUUCACACAGAGGCAGCCUUGUCAGGCUGGGGAAGGUUGCAGUAAGCAGCACUUCUGCACUUGGCAGAGCAACAACGGGGACAAAGGGAAAGUGCUCUUUAAUCAACACGUGACAAGGUGUGGAAAGCCCCUUCUUACACAAAGUCCAAAUAAACAUAUUUCUGUUCAGGUUGGUCAUCUCCUCUGCCAGACAUUUACAGGAUAUUUCUUUGCACAGGCAGGUUGGCUCUGGCUGGGGUCCUAUGCCACCAACUCACAGACCCUGCUUGUGGGAUCAGACCCUCUUGGGAGCUACCAGCUCUUCCAAACCAAAGCCAGCAGCAGGACCUCCCAGGCUGCUGAUAAACACAGCCUGUGGAUCCCAACACCCUGUAGUUUAGGUUACCUCAGUCCCCACCAGAUGCUGACUACAAGGCAGCAGAAAUUCAUGAGUCUGCCAUGGAAGUUCAUGAGAAUUUAAAAAUUUAUUGUGCCCCAGAGUUAUUUACCAUUUUACUUCGAUUUUGCUAAAGGGUCCUAACCCUCCAGCUAUCUGUGAGAGGUUAUUUUCUUUAAAAAGGAAACCUGAAGGUCUCCUUGUUCCAGCAGGGGACUUUAAAGGGAAAAAAGCACCAACUGUCAUGAAGUUCCAAAAAAUAGUGAAGCUGGGUAACGGUUUAAUACAUGUAAUCCUUCCUGCUCUCUAUUGUCCCUGUAGAGUGAAGCCUUCAAGAAAUCCUUCUUGUUUACAAGCCACCAGUAGCAGCUCUUCGUUAUCGGGAGCAUGUUUUCUGGGCAGAACCAAGGUGUCACUGUUGAGCAUUCAGAGGACUUUGUGCUAAAAACCUUGUGGUCCUUAGUUCAGUGGGCAGCACGUAGACACCACCUUAUCCCCAGUGAGCUGUGGGACAUCUCAGCCAGUCCAUGAGGCUCUUCCUAAAUAAACCCUUUUUGAACUAAGAAAGAAAAGCAAAUCCUGCAGGAAAUGCCCUGUUCUUUUCCCCAACAGUGCCUAGGGCUAUCUCUGGCUCAGUCUUUGCUGAUCCAUCUCCUGGUACAGCAGCAGUCAUGAAGCACUGUGGCUGUGCCAGCCUUCACACUGAGCCGGCACGCUCGGUUCUGUUGUGCAGACCUGCCAUCAACAGGAACACAUGUUCCUGAAAAGAUCUUGCCAUCUGGAGGAAGCACUGGGAAAUUACCUUCCACCAAGCAGCACCAGCCUCAUUUCCUUCUCGGCCUCCCGGCACAGUCGUGAGAACAAAUGAAUCACCAGCACAACCUGGGGGCUUACAGCAGGCUGGUAGACAAGACGAGGCUGGGACCUUCCCACCAGGAAACUCAGCCAGGGAGGAGAAAACAGAAAAGAUGGAAAAAGAUGGAUUGGGAAUUAAGAGACAACCUGACAAAUCCAGGUGACAGUACAAAUACUGCAGGACUGUGGUCAGGGAUUCUAUGGCAAGCACCUGCUGCAAUCCAGUAGCCAAUUCUUGCAAGCUAUAAUCAAUGAGAGAUUUGCAGCUUGGCUUUAAUGGAAAGCCAAGCUCAUUCUUAGCUCCUUCACUACAAGAACUUGACUUUUUUUUUCCUUUUAUGUGUCUCCUAAUUCAUAACACAGUGGUGUCAGUGUUUUCACUCUAUCUUACUAAGAUAAGACUGAUUAGGGAUAGAUUUUAAUGGCAAGGAGGUACUAGUGUCCAGAUGCCAGGCUGACAGGGAUACAGACAUGGUAGGGGAGAUGUAGGCAUGAUAUACAGAUCUGAGAGUGAUGUACAAACUCUGUGUCCCUAAAUACCUGCAUAUUUCUGCAAAUGUUGGCAGAGGGUGGGAGCCAGCCCAAGACUAGGGCAGAACGAAGGUUCUUUGUGCACAUUCUGAAGGGCUUUGUACACAUAGCCUGAGCUUCCACUUCACAGGCUUUCAAACACUUAUGGCUUUCCCCUCACAAAACAUGGUGCCAUUGCAAAAAGUGACAACCCAGCUGCCCCGGGGGUUUCCAUGGUGACCCAGCCUCAUUCCCCAUCUGAUUUGUUCAGUUUAGAGAAGAGUGAUUUUUCUUUUUUCCUUCUCACAGCGAAUCGACCCUCAAGCCCAAUCCAUUUCUCCUCAGUUCCCAUGGCCGUGGUGUGUGCUCAUGAAUCCCUGUUCCCCCUGCAUUCACAUGCUCAUGCCUUGGCUGUGCUGCCCCAUCCCAGAGUCAGCCCAUGCCAAGUGGGUCAGUCCCUGACAGCUCAUUCUUGGGGCCUGGUCCAGAGCUGAGGAGAUUCUCCUGGAGAUAUCUGAUCUCAAAAAUGAUUGCUGCUAACAUCAAUUCCUUUUCCAUCUAUAUCAUUGUGAGUUUUUUCAUGUGGCAAUGUGUCAGAACAUCCAAGAACACUGACCAAUUGAAGCUGUUGAGCUUUGAAUCCUGCAGUGUCCACAUGGCUUUUGCUACAAGUUCUGCAAAGUUACUGGUUCAUAAAGAUAACUUUAACCAGAACUGGAGAAGAUUAGGAUCUGGAAAAGCGUCUGGGCAGUGGCUUAGGUGCUCCUGCUUCCAUGUGCAUGGGGAGACCCCUCUGGGGUGCCUCAGAACCACUUUGCUCCGGUACCAUGGCUGAAGCAGAAGCACUAUGUCCCUGCUUCCUCUUCCUCCUCUUCCUCUUUUGAAGUGUGAAGUUAUUCAGGAGAGAAAGUACAAGGACUCACCCCACCAGUUUGUUCACAGAGCUUGAAAUAAAUAAACCCCAAACCCAAUGAGGGAACUGUGGUAAGCACCAGGGCUUGCAGUGAGCCCCAGGUGUGAGCAGCAAUGCUGCCAUAGAAAAGACAAACACAGGCAAUGUGCAAUCGUAAAAGAAAACAGAGAGCAUAAUUUAAGCGAGUUCUGCACUAAUAAUGAAGAAAAAUCUGGCAGGUGCUUGGAAGUUGCAUUUCUGCAAAGCAAGGAAAUACUGCCUGGAGGGAGGUACUGCUGCCCAGGAGAUGGGUGUGUGAUGGGGCCUGCACAGAUAUGAAAAGGACUCAGCAAGUAUCACAUCUCAAAUGCUGUGUGGAACGAAUAAAUGAGUUCUCAUUUCAUCACAGAAGGGAGGGCGUGGAGGAUUUUCCAUGAGAGCUCCCACUGCAGAAACCCAUCCUCAGAGCUUUAGCAGGAUAAAAAAAAAAGGUUUCCUUCCUCUUCUGGAGAAGAUCUGAAAUUGGCCGGCGAGAGCAAGACUUUGUUUUUCUUCUUUAUUGAUAUCAUCAAGAAGUCCAGGACUUUUCUCAAUGAGUGAGGCACGAGCAGGGCUGCGGGGCACUGGGGCUCCCAUCAGGCAACAACUGCAUGUUUCUGGCUUUUGGGGACUGUCAGCCAGUUCAUCAGGAAAAUAUCAUGGUGAGAGCCCCAGGGAACUGUCCAGUCCCAGCUGGUGGUGGCCAUCAGCAUGCAAGGACAGCCCAUGACCCUUGGAGCAGUCUCUGAAUCGUAGUGCCACAGCCUGUGGCCUCCAGCAUGGAGAUGCCUUCUUCCCCGACAGGAUGCCCUCAUCCGUUUCAUCAUGGGAGCUGCCAAAGCACAUCUAAGAGCAGAGCACUUUGUUCAUGGCAGCAACUGCGGAUUAGCAACUGUUAUGCUUCCCUUUGCAAUUCACCCUAGGCUGUGCAAAAAUAUUGGUUUGAUGCCAAUAGGAAAAGCUGUGGCUUCUGUGUAUGGAGCCCGGUCCUUUGGCAUGGGGCAGACGUCCAGCUCUGUCAUAAUGCUUGGCUCCAGAGAGCUUCUCCAUUGGGUUAAGCACAGGCUGAGCACUCUCUGUAAGCUGGAGCAAAGCUGUGCUCAGCAAUUCAGAGUUAGAGUGUUCCAUUACUUAAUUUGAGUGGCUAACAAUAUAUCACUUCUGGGUCACGGGCACCUACUACUGUGUCUGUCACUGAAGCCAGGUUUUGGGUUUUGCAAAAGCAUCAUAAAGGACAAGGGCCUUGUCCUCCAUUGCAGAGGUUUGCUUCACUGCACCAGCAUCUCCAGCCCACUGUACUCAAACGCUUCACCAAAGCCAAGUUAAUUGUAGAAUAUCCCAAGUUGGAAGGGACACAAGGAUCAUCAAGUCCUACUCCUGGCUCCUCAGGACCACCCAAAAAUCAGACCAUAUGUUUGAGAGUCUUGUCCCAAUGCCCCUUGAAGUCCAGCAGCUCGAGGCCAUGCCCACUGCCCUGGGGAGACUGUUCCAAGCCCACUGAGCUCUGGUAAAGAACCUUUUCCUGAUAUCUAACUUGAGUUAAUAUUUAUUUGUGUUCUAUGCCGUGCUGUGUUAUGGGGGUUGUAGCAUGGCUCUGUAGUUUUUUGCUUUGUGUGAAAACAGAGAAAUGAAGAGAUUAGCCAGCGCCCAUUCCUGGGCUCAGACUGUUGCUGCACAGCUGCAGGAUAUUCUCAAGCACAGGAGCUUUGAGAAAUACCAACAAAGCUUUAAAGUGGCCUUAAAAGAAACAUCUUUUGGUUUGGUUUGGUUUGGUUUGGUUUGGUUUGAUAGAGUAAGAAGAAAGGGACAUGCUGGUUCUUAAUUGCACGAUGCUACAAGCUAGUAGAUUUCUCCCAGUGCCAAAGGGUGCAGGUAUCACCCCUCCAUGUUGCCCAUGCCAAUGGGAACUAUGAUGCCCAGCAUGCCCACAGCUCUGCACUGUGCCUCCUCUGUACUCAGCUCUGGUGAGGCCACUUCUUAAGUACUGUAUUCAGUUUUGGGCUCCUCACUACAAGAUAGAUAUUGAAGCCCUGAAGCGUGUCCAGAAAAGGGUGACGAAGCUGUGAGGGGUCUGGAUGUCUAUUCCCAGGGGUGAACCUCUGGAAAGCUGUACUUUCCUUAACUUGAUGCCUGGGGAAACCUGAGAACUAGCGCUUUAUUUAAAUAUAUAUUUCUGUACCUUUUUUUUUUUUUAAAUAAGUGUUUUUGAAGUUUCAUUGAAGAUGUUGUCACUGGAAUCAUUAUAUUUCUAUAGAGAUUAUAAUGACUCCUUUUGAAGAGUUAGUCUCAGUCAGUCAGUGCUUAAUUCACAUAUCAAUGACUUCAUAAACCCUAAAUCCACAACUCUUCUGAAACUGUACUCAUCUGCUGUACCAGUGAGUGCCUGCUUCUUAGUGCCAGAUUGUUUCUCUAUAGGCCAUCCCAGCAGCAGUGGAGCCUUGGCCAUGCGAGGCAGCGCCAUGCAGGUUUUACAAGCCAGUGUUCUGGUGCUGGCAGAGUGAGAGGAUUAAAGCACAUCAUCAUUUUCAUUUUACUCUCUGAAUCAUGUCAGUGAGAAACCAUCUAUUGCUGGAUCUAAAACUCACUCUGCCCCUGCCCUGGAAACCUUACAGGAAAAGGAAUGAAUGAUGGCACAGCCUGAAUACCCAGCUUUCCUCUUUGAUUAGCUGGAAGCAGAAGAGUCCAGUGUUUUCAGAGGCAGGACAGGGGAGGGUGGAGGUCCCUGUGUCCUGCCAGCUCAGAGCAGACUUUGUUGCCUUGCUCGUGCUCAGAAGCAUAGCUUGGAUCAAUCUGUGCCCCUCACUGCUGGAAUGAAGCCAAGUGCUGCAGCUGCCCUGCGCCCUGCAACUCACAGACAACUCAUCCAUGUGCUUUGUGCACCACCAAACAUGUUCUGCAUGAGUCUGAGCAACCUGUUUCAGCCUGUUCUCCCUCCUACCUGCGACCAAGCCAAGCUCUUGUAUCCAGAGAGCUGAAGAUCUGUUGGAAAGCUGAGCAUUAGUUGGAAAUUGGACAACAGAUGAUGCUCUCAAUGCUGUGCCCUCAUCACUUGUGCCACUGCUGAGUUGCCUGAGGAGCAGUACUCACCAAGGCUGACUGGAGCCAUGUCCUUCAUAUGAUAGAGCCAGGAACAACGCUUGGAGACAUCCUCAGCUUUGCAAAGCAACCCUAUGUCCUCUGGGCAAGAGGGAUGGGAAUGCAGCUCCAGGGCUCCUACUCAGCAAUCCCUGUUGGUACCCAACAGGACUGGUGCUGCAGCCACAAACCGCUCUGUUUGCAGCAGUGCUUGUGUUGCUGCAAGUCCCAGGAAAGCUCCAGCACUUGGCUGAGCCCCAGGGACAAGGUCCCUGUAUGGGAACAUGGAACCCUCACUGCUCCUUGAUAAAGUCAGCACUGAGUGGGCUUCCCUCUGAUGCCGCUGGGAAAGAAAGGGAAAACAAAACAAAGCAGUGUUGAACUCAGCAGAUGGAGGGAGCUGAGCUUUCUGACUGUUUCUAUGGAGCCCCUCCUAGCACUGGCUUGGUGUGGGUCUGAGCUCCAUCCCUUCCCAGAGGGGUGCCUCUUCCCAUCCCCCUGUAGGACCCACUGUUCUGAUAAUAGGUUGGUGCCACACCACCAGGCAGCCUGCUUAUCUGGCUACCCAGCAAACGAUUUG